rnacentral:rRNA from 1 species
UGUGAACUCGAAGAGUAGGGCGGGACACGUGGUAUCCUGUCUGAAUAUGGGGGGACCAUCCUCCAAGGCUAAAUACUCCUGACUGACCGAUAGUGAACCAGUACCGUGAGGGAAAGGCGAAAAGAACCCCGGCGAGGGGAGUGAAAAAGAACCUGAAACCGUGUACGUACAAGCAGUGGGAGCCUCUUUUAUGGGGUGACUGCGUACCUUUUGUAUAAUGGGUCAGCGACUUAUAUUCUGUAGCAAGGUUAACCGUAUAGGGGAGCCGAAGGGAAACCGAGUCUUAACUGGGCGUUAAGUUGCAGGGUAUAGACCCGAAACCCGGUGAUCUAGCCAUGGGCAGGUUGAAGGUUGGGUAACACUAACUGGAGGACCGAACCGACUAAUGUUGAAAAAUUAGCGGAUGACCUGUGGCUGGGGGUGAAAGGCCAAUCAAACCGGGAGAUAGCUGGUUCUCCCCGAAAGCUAUUUAGGUAGCGCCUCGUGAACUCAUCUUCGGGGGUAGAGCACUGUUUCGGCUAGGGGGCCAUCCCGGCUUACCAACCCGAUGCAAACUACGAAUACCGAAGAAUGUUAUCACGGGAGACACACGGCGGGUGCUAACGUCCGUCGUGAAGAGGGAAACAACCCAGACCGCCAGCUAAGGUCCCAAAGUCAUGGUUAAGUGGGAAACGAUGUGGGAAGGCACAGACAGCCAGGAUGUUGGCUUAGAAGCAGCCAUCAUUUAAAGAAAGCGUAAUAGCUCACUGGUCGAGUCGGCCUGCGCGGAAGAUGUAACGGGGCUAAACCAUGCACCGAAGCUGCGGCAGCGACACUAUGUGUUGUUGGGUAGGGGAGCGUUCUGUAAGCCGUUGAAGGUGGCCUGUGAGGGUUGCUGGAGGUAUCAGAAGUGCGAAUGCUGACAUAAGUAACGAUAAAGCGGGUGAAAAGCCCGCUCGCCGGAAGACCAAGGGUUCCUGUCCAACGUUAAUCGGGGCAGGGUGAGUCGACCCCUAAGGCGAGGCCGAAAGGCGUAGUCGAUGGGAAACAGGUUAAUAUUCCUGUACUUGGUGUUACUGCGAAGGGGGGACGGAGAAGGCUAUGUCAGCCGGGCGACGGUUGUCCCGGUUUAAGCAUGUAGGCGGAGGUUCCAGGUAAAUCCGGUACCUUUUAACGCUGAGGUGUGAUGACGAGGCACUACGGUGCUGAAGUGAUAAAUGCCCUGCUUCCAGGAAAAGCCUCUAAGCAUCAGGUAACACGAAAUCGUACCCCAAACCGACACAGGUGGUCAGGUAGAGAAUACCAAGGCGCUUGAGAGAACUCGGGUGAAGGAACUAGGCAAAAUGGUGCCGUAACUUCGGGAGAAGGCACGCUGAUAUGUAGGUGAAGUCCCUGCGGACGGAGCUGAAAUCAGUCGAAGAUACCAGCUGGCUGCAACUGUUUAUUAAAAACACAGCACUGUGCAAACACGAAAGUGGACGUAUACGGUGUGACGCCUGCCCGGUGCCGGAAGGUUAAUUGAUGGGGUUAGCGGCAACGCGAAGCUCUUGAUCGAAGCCCCGGUAAACGGCGGCCGUAACUAUAACGGUCCUAAGGUAGCGAAAUUCCUUGUCGGGUAAGUUCCGACCUGCACGAAUGGCGUAAUGAUGGCCAGGCUGUCUCCACCCGAGACUCAGUGAAAUUGAACUCGCUGUGAAGAUGCAGUGUACCCGCGGCAAGACGGAAAGACCCCGUGAACCUUUACUAUAGCUUGACACUGAACACUGGUCCUUGAUGUGUAGGAUAGGUGGGAGGCUUUGAAGCGUGGACGCCAGUCUGCGUGGAGCCGACCUUGAAAUACCACCCUUUAAUGGCUGGUGUUCUAACGUAGACCCGUUACCCGGGUUGCGGACAGUGUCUGGUGGGUAGUUUGACUGGGGCGGUCUCCUCCCAAAGAGUAACGGAGGAGCACGAAGGUUGGCUAAUCCUGGUCGGACAUCAGGAGGUUAGUGCAAUGGCAUAAGCCAGCUUGACUGCGAGCGUGACGGCGCGAGCAGGUGCGAAAGCAGGUCAUAGUGAUCCGGUGGUUCUGAAUGGAAGGGCCAUCGCUCAACGGAUAAAAGGUACUCCGGGGAUAACAGGCUGAUACCGCCCAAGAGUUCAUAUCGACGGCGGUGUUUGGCACCUCGAUGUCGGCUCAUCACAUCCUGGGGCUGAAGUAGGUCCCAAGGGUAUGGCUGUUCGCCAUUUAAAGUGGUACGCGAGCUGGGUUUAGAACGUCGUGAGACAGUUCGGUCCCUAUCUGCCGUGGGCGCUGGAGAAUUGAGGGGGGCUGCUCCUAGUACGAGAGGACCGGAGUGGACGCAUCACUGGUGUUCGGGUUGUCAUGCCAAUGGCACUGCCCGGUAGCUAAAUGCGGAAGAGAUAAGUGCUGAAAGCAUCUAAGCACGAAACUUGCCCCGAGAUGAGUUCUCCCUGAGACUUUAAGUCUCCUGAAGGAACGUUGAAGACGACGACGUUGAUAGGUCGGGUGUGUAAGCGCAGCGAUGCGUUGAGCUAACCGAUACUAAUGAACCGUGAGGCUUAACCUUACAACGCCGAAG